UCGAUGCUUAUAGCAAUAUAGGCAUGGCAAACGGGAGAGUAACACAUUGGCAACUUACCCCAAAGUCGAGCAUAACCUUGCGAAAGCGAGGAUAAUACUCGAUGGUAUUAAAAGACAUAAGUCUUUUAAUUAAAGCUCCGGCGCUUUGGGAGAGGCCUAUGGCCUAUCAGCUAGUUGGUGAGGUAAUAGCUCACCAAGGCUACGACGGGUAUGGGGCGCGAGAGCGUGAUCCCACUCACUGGGACUGAGACACUGCCCAGACUCCUACGGGAGGCUGCAGUCAAGAAUCUUCCUCAAUGGGCGAAAGCCUGAAGGAGCGACGCCGCGUGUAUGAAGAAGCCCUUCGGGGUGUAAAAUACUUUUAACUGUGACGAAACAAUGACGGUAGCAGUUGAAUAAGGGGCUGCUAACCUCGUGCCAGCAGCAGCGGUAAUACGAGGGCCCCAAGCAUUAUCCGGAUUUAUUGGGCGUAAAGCGUCCGUAGGUGGUUUAUCGCAUCUCCUGUUAAAUCUCGAGGCUCAACCUCGAGUCAGCGGGAGAGAUGGACAAACUAGAGACUGGAAGAGGCAAACGGAAUUGCUGGUGUAGGGGUUAAAUCCAUUAAUAUCAGCAAGAACAUCAAAUGCGAAGGCAGUUUGCUAGGACAGUUCUGACACUCAGUGGACGAAAGCGUGGGGAGCGAAUGGGAUUAGAUACCCCAGUAGUCCACGCCGUAAACGAUGGAUACUAAGCAUUGGCAGUAUCGACCCUGCCAGUGCUGUUAAUUUAAGGUAACCCGUUAAGUAUCCCGCCUGGGGAG
rnacentral:rRNA from 1 species